rnacentral:rRNA from 1 species
UACGAAGGGGGCGAGCGUUGUUCGGAAUUACUGGGCGUAAAGGGCGCGCAGGCGGCCCUUGAAGCCAGGCGUGAAAGCCCCGGGCUCAACCUGGGAGGUGCGCUUGAUACUCGAGGGCUUGAGUGCGGGAGAGGAGAGUGGAAUUCCCAGUGUAGAGGUGAAAUUCGUAGAUAUUGGGAAGAACACCGGUGGCGAAGGCGGCUCUCUGGACCGUAACUGACGCUGAGGCGCGAAAGCGUGGGGAGCAAACAGG